UACAGAGGGUGCAAGCGUUAAUCGGAAUUACUGGGCGUAAAGGGUGCGUAGGCGGGGCUUUAAGUCAGGGGUGAAAUCCUGGAGCUCAACUCCAGAACUGCCUUUGAUACUGAGGAUCUUGAGUUCGGGAGAGGUGAGUGGAACUGCGAGUGUAGAGGUGAAAUUCGUAGAUAUUCGCAAGAACACCAGUGGCGAAGGCGGCUCACUGGCCCGAUACUGACGCUGAGGCACGAAAGCGUGGGGAGCAAACAGG
rnacentral:rRNA from 1 species